AGUGUCUGGGUCAUUUCCACAUGCUUUAUUCCAGCAAUCAAAAUAAUUAAAAACAUCUCAAAUUAUUAUUAUACACAUACAAAAUAGGUACAGAGUCUCUUGCUUCCUCCCACCCUGGGGCAAAAACUGCUUUGUGCUUUGGGAAGCUGUUAUCUGAAAACCACGGAGUACAGAGGUGCAGGAGGGAGGGCUUCAGAGGAGAAGUCAGAGAGGCAGGGUGGGGAGAGGGAGGAGAGGGGCAGGCUGGAGCCAGCCCUUUCCCCCACAUUAAAUAGCACCGUUAGAAAAAAAAUUCACGAGUCCCCAUCUGCAAGGAAGACCGAAAAGAAGGAAAGAAAGAGCUGAAGAGCAGAAGACUUUGAACAAAAAGGAACAUUUGUUGGCCUGGGGGCACCCCAACUUUUUUAGCACCAGAAAUUCCUCCUCCACCCCCCCCACAUUGAUGUAGCACCUUUGGUAUCAAAUGGGGUGGUCGCUGCCCCCGCCCUCACAGUCGCUGGUGACACACAAGACAAGAACGAGGUAGUCAGUCUUUAGCAACACAGUUACACAAGGAACAGAACAUCUCUCCCACCCAGCCGGGCGCACAAGGGGCUCCAGGCGCCUCCCCAAGUCCGACGUCUCUGCUCUGCGGUGCCGUGGCCCUGCCCCUCUCUCGAGACCCCCGGGAAGGGCCCUCUCAAAAACAAAGUGGGGUGUGUUGCAGAGGCCUUGGGGAUGCCAGAUGGGUGGGCUCCUUUGGCAGUCUGGGAACCCCGGAUCUCCCCAGCACUGGGUGUAUCAGGCAGCCGGAGUGGGCUGGGAGUUGGAGGCCACUUAGAUGUUUCAGCAUUGCCUUUGGUUGCUGAGCAGACAAUGCACUGUUUCUUGUGCCUUUGCGGGCGACUUGGAUUUGGGGAACAGUGGAAGAGAGGCCCCAAGAAGGGGUGGAAAAAAGAGCAGAAAGGGCAGCAUUGGGGUAUCAUAAGCCCAACGGGCAGAAAAAGACUUACCCCCACAGGGUCUUCAAGCAAGUGGACCAAGCUUCCUUUUUUAAAAACUUAUUUAUUUAUUCUUUUUUUUUUUUCCCGUAAGGUUCAAUGCAUUUUUGGUUUUUGGUCAUGUUCAGUUGGUCAAAGAAAAAAAAACUAAGUUCGAGAGAUGAAUGUAAAGGAAAAAAAAAAUGUUUUCCAAAGUCCAUGUGAAAUUGUCUCCCAUUUUUUUGGCUUUUGGGGGAUUCAGUUUGGGUUGUUUUUCUGUUUCCGGUCUGCUGAUCCAGGUAGGCCACGCUGUUCUUGCAGUGGUAGGUGAUGUUCUGGGAGGCCUCGGUGGACAUCAGGCGCAGGAAGGUCAGCUGGAUGGCCACGUCAGCAGGUUCGGAGUCUGGGCUGCCAUACUUGAACUGCAGGGGAGGUGACAGAGCCGGGGUGAGUGAAACUUCGGGGCCUCUGCCCUGGCCUCCGUCCUCAAGUCCGCUGACAGCACUGUGCCCGGCUAACUCAGCUCAAGAGAGCUCUCGCUGCCCAUGGGCACCUGCGUCUGAGCCGGCAGCAAGGACCCAGGCUCCCUCCCCAGCCUGGCUCUGUCCCUCCUGGGCACUGGGCUAGCAUCUCCCAAACAUGGGCCUAGGGUCCAGCUCAUGCACCUGGAAUCCACCGUCCAUGCUCUCGCCGAACCAGACGUGGUUCCUCUCCUUGAGGUUCUUGCUGAUGUACCAGGCCUUCAGAGCCACGGUGGGCUGAACUGGGUACACGCAGCUCUCUCCCCGUCUCCAUGUUGCAGAACACCUUGAUGGCGUCCAGGUUGCAGCCUUGGUUGGGGCUCGAUCCAGUACUCUCCUGUGGCGGGGCAGGACGAGGGGAGUCAGGGGAGCAGGAGAGGUAGCCCCUGAGAGCGCAGGGAGGCCGGCACGGCAGGAGGAGGAGGAGGAAGGGGCAGCCAGGGCAGGCCCUCACCGCCUCUUCCAGUCGGGGUGGCACAUCUUGAGGUCACGGCAGGUGCGGGCGGGGUUCUUGCGGGUGCCUUCAGGGCUGCGGAUGUUCUCGAUCUGCUGGCUCAGGGUCUUGAGUGUGGUGUCCACCUCGAGGUCACGGUCACGGACCACGUUGGCGUCAUCAGCCCGGUAGUAGCGGCCAUCGCCAGCCUUCUCCUGAGAUGGCUGGGGCAGGAAGCUUAAGUCGUAACCGCCGCUGGGGAGGACCAGGGGGACCAGGGGGGUCCAGGAGGGCCGGCGGGACCCUGUGCAGAAAGGGAGGAGAUCGGGGGUUACCAGUGUCCGAGCGAGGCCUCUUGGGGCUGGAGGGACAUGAGGCGAAGGGGUGGGGCUACGACAACAGGACCAGCAUCACCAGUGCGACCCCGAGGACCAGGGGGGACCGAUGGGGCCAGGCAGGCCAUUGAGCCCCAUCCUUGCCGGGAGAACCAGCAGACCCGGGAGGACCCUGGAGGAGAGACGGAGGGAGAAAUCCUCCUGGAAACGCAUCCCAAUUCCAACGGAGACACCCAUCGCCUUGCCUGCCGGACCAGGCACUGGACAAGACUGUCCAGGAGCCUUCUCUUCCUGGGUCCUCGGGGAAGGUCCCCAAGGCAAGCCUGGCCGGGGACCUGGGAAGACCCAACUUACUCGGGGACCAGCAGGACCAGAAGCUCCAGAAGGACCUUGUUCACCAGGAGAGCCCUGACGCACAGAGACAAAGACAGUUCAGGCCCAGUGCGGGUCCAGUGCAGGCUUGGGACAGGGCAGGGGACCCAGAGGGCAGGGUGGGCAGCCCACCCCUCUCCCUACUGGGGAAAUCUUGCCCCAGCCUCCUCAUAGGCUGAGCCUCUCUUCCAAUCCUCUCUCAGAAGCUACUCGGAAAUGGCCAUAAACCUUUAGUCCCCAGUCCCCAUGACGGAGGAUCCAGAGUGGCUCUUCAGAGGGGAAACUGAGGCAGGUGUCUACUGUCCACCGCCCCCGCCCCCACCGUCACCCAGCACAGCAUGGGGAGAUGACAAAGAAGGUGCAGUGGCAGAGGACCUGAGAGCCCGAGCAUACUCACAGGAGGACCGGGGGACCCUGGAGACCAGAGAAGCCGCGUGUGACCCUUGAUGCCUCUGUCACCCUGUUCGCCUGUCUCACCCUUGUCACCACGGGGGCCUUGGGGUCCCUGGAAGAGAGUGGGGACAGGCUGUCAGGUGGAAGCCCCUUUGGGACUGAGUGGGAGUGUGAUCCACACCGGGUGAGGGUUUUGAGGUCAGGGGUUGGUGUGGGCCACUUACAGCAGGGCCACGGGCACCAGCAGGGCCGAUGGGACCAGCAGGACCAGCAGGACCCUGGGGAGAGCAGAGAGAGUAGUUGACCCUGGCCGAGGCAGCCCACCGUGUCCAUGUCCCCCCAUGUGGCCGCUUCUCCUGACCCCCUAUAAACUUCCCACGGGGCCGGUUCCUGUCACCAGGGAGAGGGGCCUUGGAUGAGGGUCCUGAGGCCGAGCUCUGAUUUUCCAAGGAGGCCGAGGAUGCAGAUGUCCCACAAACUUCUGCUCUCUCCUCUCCCUGCCUGGCCGAUGUCGCCAUCUGUCCCCAGAAUCCCUGGCCUGAGCCGAGCCCGCCCACUUACAGUCUCACCACGAUCGCUCACUCUUGCCAGCAGGGCCGACCGGGGCCAGGGGCGCCAGGGGCACCAGGAGCACCAGGGGGUCCAGCAGGGCCGGUUUCCCCACCACGCUCACCCUGGGGGGCAAGGGCAGGGACAAUGGGUCAGCACCCGAGGACGGCCCAGGCUGGGGUGGGCACGUGGGGCUGGUAGUGCUGCAGUGCUGGGGUCCAGCCCUCUUACCUUGGGGCCGGAGAGCCGUCUCGUCCGGGGAGAGCCUUCAGCACCGGGGGAGCCCUGCAGAGGGAAGAGCGGCUCACAGAGAGGGGACUCUCAGACAGGCCCUGUGGCCUUGCUGUGGGCAUGCACUCUAGGCCUGGGGUCUGAGGACUGCUCACCUCUCGUCCAGAUUCACCAGGGGGUCCAGCCAGACCAGGGGGGCCCAUGGGGCCGGGGGGACCACCAGGGCCAGCAGGGCCAGGAGGACCAGCGGCCGCUUUAGCACCAGCAUCACCAGGUUCGCCUUUAGCACCAGAGGCACCAGCAGGGCCAGGAGGACCAAUGGGGCCAGUCAGGCCACGAGGACCAUCUUUGCCAGGAGUACCAUCGGCACCUUUGGGACCAGCAUCACCCUGAAGAGAAGGAAAAGCCUGAGACUUCCAGUGUGGGGCCAGGAGGUGACCUGCAGGGUUCUGCUUGUGUCUGGAAGCCCUGGCGGCAGCCCUGCCCACUGCGCCUGUGUCAGGGGCGCAGGAGCCUAGGGAUUUGGGGGCCAUCUAGGCUGAGAGCCCCUGACUCUGUGAAAGAGGAUGAAUACAGCAUCCUCCAUCAAGGAGAUGCCCCACAUCUCAUCACCAUGGUAACUCGCAUGGAGCAGGGCCUGGACCACAGGCAGAGAUUCAGCAGCAAGGGGCCAGAGUCGGGAAGAAAGAAGGAUGAAGAAGAGGAGGGAAAGAUCUCAGGGCAAUGGCAAGGGACCCAAAGCAGAAAACAGACGGAAGCCGUGGAGAGCUCAGGAGAGGAAAGUAUCAAACUUACUCGGUCACCCUUAGGACCUGGAAGACCAGCUGCGCCCCGUUCACCAGGCAUUCCCUGAAGACCAGGGGCACCCUGGCUACCGGGAGCUCCGGGGCACCAGCAUCACCCUAGGUGACAACCAAGAAGGCUGGGGUGAGGCCUGGGGUCCAGAAGUGGGCGCAAGCCCUGAGCCCCCAUCUGGAGGCUCCCAGGUCUGCUUCCGCGGGCCAAGGACACAGCCCGGCCCUCCUCCUCACUGGCCCCGACCCUCCCCCAGCUCCGGCCUUGGCCACAGCCAGUCACCCCUGUCCUGGCGGGGGACUUCUCACCUUGGCACCAUCGUUGCCAGGAGCACCAUUGGAUCCGCGCGGACCAGCAGGACCGUGGGGACCUUGCACACCACGCCCGCCUAGGGAAACCUCUCUCGCCCCUAGGAGGGAAAGACGGGCGUGGCGGCAAAGGCAAGGCCGGGCAUUGAGCGGGGAGCGGAGCGGGGAGAGGGAAGAAUCCACUUACUCUCGCUCCGGAGGGGCCGGGGCGCCAAGGUCGCCAGGAAGACCCUGGUGGGGGUUGAGAGAGCAACAGUGAGCAAACCUGUGGGGUCCUCUGCAUGAGAAAGAGCUCCUGUCCCUCUUCCCGGGGCCCAGGCUUGGGGGCCGUGAUGAGAGGAACCCCUGUCAGCAUGGAACUGGGAUUUUACCUUAUGGCCCCUCUACUCCUCCUCCUGCUGAGUCAAAUGCCUCCCUCCUCCCCAUACCUGCAACAAGAAAGCUGCAGGGAAAGCCAGAGUAUCCCAGCAGUUGGUAAAAGGAGCUGGCCUGGUCUAGCAGUCCUGCAGAUCCCAUCUACAGCUUCCUGUUUCCCUCCACAUGGCUCCCCUCAUCACAGGACGUCCUUCCUGAGGUCUAGCCUCAGUCCCCAGGCAGUGGCCUGUCCCGCUUCGCUCUCCCCUGCCUUCCCCCACCCCUGGGCGCUGCUUCCUCUUACCUGUUCACCAGGUUUGCCUGCUUCACCGGGAGGACCAGCGGGGCCAGGGAGACCCUGCAGGUGGGAAGUGGCGGGGAGAAGAAGGGGUCAGAAUGUGGAGGGGGAACAGAAGCACCUGCUCCUCUCCACACAGCCUGGCAGCCAGAAGGCCUCACCUGGAACCCGGGAGGCGGGCGGGCCUUGUUCGCCUCUCUCUCCAGCGGGACCCUGUCAAGGGGAGAAUGCCGAGGUCAUGGGCAGUCUGGGGAGAGAAGGGCAGGGGCGCUCCCGGGAGGGACACUUACAGCAGGACCAGGGGCUCCCUGAGCUCCAGCUUCGCCAUCUUUGCCAGCGGGACCCUAUGGGCAGAAAGGGAAGAGCUCAGGGGGUGGGGCUGAUGGCUGGGGUCACAGGGACACAGCAGAUGGCAGCAGAGUGGGGGAAGGGAAGGGAGACACUUACGACAGCGCCAGGGGUCCAGGCACACUUCCCCGUUCUCCAGCUUUGCCGGGCUCUCCCUGUGCAGAAAGGGGGUCAGAGUUGAGGGCCGAGGAGAAACCUGAGUCUUCCUGUCUACGUUGUCGGGCACAGGCACGAUGCAGUCUUUGUUCAGGGGCUUUGUUUUUUGCCCCAAAACACCGCAGGCUCUGUCUACAACCCUUGGGGACGCCUGUGGCUUUUGUAGUUAGUUCCUUAGCCUCCCUAAAACCUCAUGCCCAGCAGCCUGAGCUACAAAAGGCUUUUGCCUCCUCCUCUCGAACCUCAAAGAACCCACCAAAUUUGGGGGUGACUCUCCUGUAAAAGGCCCACCUAGCCCUGUGGUGGGAGGGAGGGCCACCAACAAUACUUAUUUCCAGGUACAGAGCAGUGACCCUAGAGCCAGGAGAAGGCUUUCAUUUUACAGUCUAAGGCCCAGAAAGGGGCAGUGAGCAGCCUGAGGUCACACAGCAAGUUCACAGAGCUGGGACAGAGCCCAGAACUCUGGCCUCCGAGGUGUCCUAUGCCCGGCUCCAUCGCCGCUCCACUGAAUACUCACAGCAGCACCUUUAGGUCCCGGGAAUCCCAUCACACCAGCCUGACCACGGGCACCAGGGGCCCGGGGGGCCGGGCGACCAUCUUGACCAGCGGGACCCUGGGGAAGGGCGGUGUAAAGGUGAGUGGUGAGGACAGAGGGAGCACAAGGAGGGCGCAGAGGGGUCCACGGGGAGCCAUACUUACAGGGGGGCCAGUUUUGCCAUCAGGACCGGGGCUGCCAGGGCUUCCAGUGAGACCCUGAGGGAUGCAGAGGCAGGCGCGAGCACUGCGGGCCCAGAAUGCCUCAUCCCAAACUCCACACAAGACAUGUAGGGCCCGGGCCGAGCUGGGCUGAUGGGCCCGCUCUCACCUUGGCACCAGGCAGACCAGCUUCGCCAGGGCGUCCGGCUUCACCAGGGGAACCUUUGGGGCCAGCAGGGCCGGGAGCACCACGUUCACCAGAGGGACCCUGGUUGGGGGAGGAAGUCACAGGAGGUCAGGGUCUCUGCCCUGGGCCUGAGGGGUGGGGAGGCUGGUCCAGGUGGGCAUUGAGGGACACUGGUGGGCACUGGAGAUGAGAAAGAGGGGGUACAGCCGUCAAGCUAGUGGCUGGGCAGCGGGCACUGGGAGGGGCAGGGCCACACCACCAGCAGAAGGGCCACCCAUGGGCCAACCUCUGCCAUGAAGAGAGCUUGCUCACCUUGGGACCAGCCACACCAUCUGCACCGGGAAGCCGUGCGGCUGCCAGGUCCACCCUGUGGGAGGAGAGGAGGCGGGUGAGCUCAGGGACACCUACCUGGGAGGGACACCAGGUAGGCUCUGGGCGUGGGAAGGAGAAGGGGGCAGGGGACAUGCACGCUCGCCAGGGGGUCCGGGCAGGCCAGCAGGUCCUGGUUCACCUCGGGCUCCACGCUUUCCUUCUUCCCCAGCAGGGCCGGGGGACCUUGAACACCAACGGGGCCCUGGGGCGGGCAGAAGAGGGGCAGGCUUGGUGAGCUUCCAGCCUCCAGCAGACAAGGGCCUCCCCUCCUUCCCGAGUCUCCCUUCCUUCAGAGGCUCCAGGCCAGGAGGGGUGUCAGAGACUCACGGCUCUCCUUUGGCACCAGUGUCUCCUUUGUUGCCGGGAGCGCCGCUGGGGCCCUGGGGUCCAGAGGGGCCACGGGCACCAGGGAAGCCAGGAGCCGCCAGCAAUACCAGGAGCUCCCUGUGGGAAGGCAGCAGAUGGGUGAGAGGGGCGGAGGGCACAGGGCAGGUGGGAGGAGGGCAGGGGAGGCGUGGGGGCGAGACUGGGCAGGAGACUUACAUUGGCACCUUUAGCACCAGGUUGUCCAUCAGCACCAGGGUUUCCCUGUGGCACAGAAGAGAGUGAGUGACAGGUAAGGACUGUGGGGGUGGGAAGCAGCACAGGGGACAUGGGGGCACUUACAGCAGGACCAGCAGCACCAGCAGGGCCAGGGGGACCAGGCUCACCACGGCUCCCUGGGGACCUUCAGAGCCUCGUGGCUCCUUGGGGACCAGAUUCACCCUGGACCAGAGGAAAGGACACAUCAGAAUGCGCCCUGCAGGGUGGGGGGAGAGAGACAGGCGCAGGAAACCAAGAAUGCGGGGUCUAAAUCAGGGAAGGGGCCCCGGGACGCAGGUGUUGGGGGAUGAGCUUCUCUCAGGCCUCGCUGGGUCCCUCUGGUUGGGGAGCAGGGGCGGCGAGGCCCUGUGGCCUGUGAGAGUUGUGCAGGAGGAGGACAGGGCCUCACCUUAGCACCAACGGCACCGGGGGAAGCCAGGAGGGCCAGCGGGGCCAGUGGGGCCCUGUGAACGAGACAGAGAUGUCAGCGGGCAGGAAGGCGGCAGCAGCAAGGCACGGCCUGGGACAGGAGAGCUCCUGGGUUUCUGUCCCCGCUCCCAGGCCCCCGGUGACAGAGCCAUACUCACAGGGGGGCCCGCAGCACCAGUAGCACCAUCAUUUCCACGAGAACCCUGUAGAGAAGGGAGGCCCAGUUAGGUUUCCUGAGCACUGGCCGGUCCCUGUGGCUCCUGGGGAUCCCUCAAGGGGCCAGAGAUACUUACAGCGGGCCCAGGGGGUCCAGGGGCGGCCUCUCUCACCAGGCAGACCACGGGGGCCCUGACAAGCAAACCAAGAGAUGCCAGGUGAGAUGGGAGACAAUCACGUGCCUCCACGCCUCCGUCGGAUCCCCGCAGCCCACGCCCCCGUUAGACACGGCACGCUCACCAUCUGGCCAGGAGCUCCAUUCUCACCAGGGCUGCCGGGCUCCCCCUGCAGGACAGAGGACAGAGUGAGGACGUCGUGCAUCUUUGGCACUGUAGGAAGGGGAGGACCAGGACAUUCAGGCGGCUCUUACCUUGGGACCAGCAGGACCAGCAUCUCCCUUGGCACCGUCCAGACCACUGAAACCCUGGGAGGGGAGAGAGGCACAAAGUGAGACCCUGUGAAGGAGCCCCGGGAGGUCGCCCUGCUAUGCCCCUGUGUCUGAGCCACACUGACUCCCAAUUGAUCCAGAGAGCCCCCAUCUGCUUAGCAGGACUUUUUCCCAUGGAGGGACUUUUUCAGGUGUCCACUCUGCGUCUCCUGGGACUUCUGUAGCUGCCCCCACCACGAAGCACAUCAGGACCUUGUAGGGGUAGGGGUCGCCAUGGUGGGAGGCCAGGACUUUGGGGCCUUAGAGGACUAAAGGGGGACUCACUCUGUGUCCCUUCAUUCCAGGAAGGCCAGCUGUUCCGGGCAAUCCCCGAGCACCCUGGGGAGCAAGGCAGAGAAGGACAGGGAAGGCCGUUAGGAUGCAGUGGGUGCUCACAGCUCCUGGCUGAGGCCCCAGUGUGGUGAAGCCGGGAUCCAGCCUCCCGCCAGCUCACCUGAGGCCCAGGAGGUCCACGCUCACCGGGACGCCAGGCUUGCCAGCUUCUCCCUAGGGGGAGAGAAAAGGCCAUGACACCCAUGUCCCUGGGCUGGGGGCGUGGGGAAGGUCUCAGUCGUCUUGGGAUUGUUGAAAGUCAGGUUUAGGGGCUUAGGAUCUUACGCUCACCUGUAGUUCAGUUUAAAUCUACCAUGAAAUCCUUUUUGGCUGAAAUCCAAGUCCCUCCAAAGAGAGUUCUGUGGCUUUCUGUCUCAACAUUUUAAUCUCCCCACCUGUACACCAGAGCACUUCUAGCUAAGGUCACCUACUCUGUGGGGUGGACCUGGGGAUUGCUUCACCCCUGCUUGGGAAACAAAAACAUCCCACUAGUAAAGAUCAUUGGUCAAGGACAGUCACGUGGGUCAGGGAGAACCGCCCUACUUCCUCUGGGAAUCAGUACCAAAGCUGGUGGGGGCAUCACAGUGGGGAUUAAAGGCCAAAGCCAGGGAUCAGAUGGGACCUUCUUGAAGGGGCUACUUACGUCAUCACCGUUCUUGCCAGGAGGGCCAGGAGGACCUCGGGGACCCAUGGGACCCUAGAGGAGAUAGGGAGAAGGGGCAGUGAGAAUCAGGCUGAGGAAGAGAGAAGAGGAAAGGAAUAGGAAGAGGAAGUCCCCGGGUGUGGGGCGUCUUUCCAUGGAAGAAGUGUCUGCAUAGAGACUACUUACUGAAGCCCCAGGCUCGCCGGGCUCACCAGGGGGCCUUGGAAACCUUGGGGACCCUGGAGAACAAGGACAGAGUGGGGAGUCAGAAGGGCAGGUCUCUGCCAAGCUGUGCCCAUCUCACCAAGAGAUCUCUGAACACCUUCCUGCUCUCGCCCCAACCUCCCCUCCAACAGUCCCGAGCCCCGGGGCCCAUGUGAACACCUGCUAGAUACUCACAGGUGAGCCAGGAGGGCCAGGGAGACCACGAGGACCGGAGGGCCCUGCAGAAAGAAGGGAAAGAGGGGACAUGGUGGCACGUGUGGGAGACCACAAGGUGGGGGCCGUCCUGCUACUGCCCAGUGCCUCCUGCUGGAGCCGCAGUGGUCAUGUGUCCUUUCUAGGCUCUAAGGUCCAAAGGUGGCUGGUAUCUCUGCAGCCGUCUAUGCCACCCCCGAAUGCCCACCCGCGUCUGUCAUCUGUUACCCCUGGUGGCUCACCAUGGGGCCAGGCACGCAGCUCCAACUGAUUUCUCAUCAUAACCGUAAGACAUCUGGGGAGCGAAGUUCUAGAAAAACAAGAGAGAGUCGGCAGAAAAAUCAGGGUCAGGACAGUCCCACAGAAAGGCAGAAGACAUCAGCAAUAAGGGGCCAAAUGACACGAUGUGCUUCUUGAUGGGAUGUGCUGGGACCAGUGAAAAAGAUUGUGAAAUAUGCCUGACCCAAACGCCUCACCCGGAUCUAAUUAUUCCGACAAUCCUCAACAGAGGGGGAGAAGAACUGGCCUCUAAGGAGUAACUGGGCUCUUCAGAAACUUCCGGUGUUGGGAAGGACAAGCAGAGUCUCAGAAAUGGCCCACAUUCGUGGGGACUAAAGAGACAGGACCACUAAAGGCAACUAAGGAUCCUGGAUUAGGAAAACAAAAUGCCGGAAGGAUAUUACUAGGACAUUGGCGAAAUGUGAAGGUGGACUGCAUAUUAGAUCAUAGUUUUAGAUGAGGGGAAAAAUGCUGUGUACAUAGACAGAGAUCCCGAGCAGAUGUGAUCAACUGGGAAGGGUAUGUGGAAGUUCUCUGCAUCAUUCUUGCAACUUUUCCGUAUGUUUGAGAUUAUUUAAAAAUAGUUAUGUUACCUGACCCCCUCCAAAUAAAAAAAAAGAAAGAGAAGAAAAAGAAAACCAAAGCUAACCCGGGAGAAGGGGCGCACACAGGCCCGCCCACCCUCUCUACUUACUCCACCAAGGCCAGGAGGGCCGGGAGGUCCAGGAGGUCCGGUGGGCCCAGGAAGUCCGGGCUGCCCAGGGAUGCCAUCUCGUCCUGGGGGGCCGGCGGUCUCCCGCGUCCUGAUCUGCUUCUGAGGGGAGAGGACGCGCAGUUACAGGCGGGUUUGCCAAGGGUGCGGAAUGGCCCUGACUCCCCCAGGCCACCAGCCCGGCUCGGAAGCCUACCUGGGCCAUCGGGGCAUCUGGGACAGCACUCGCCGGCGGGAAUUUGGGCGCCGGGACAGUUGGCCGCGUCCUCACAGGUCAUCUCGUCGCACAGUGCCGUGCCGUUGGCGCAGAUGCAGAGCUGGCAGGGGUCGGGUUUCCACGUUUCUCCACUGGCGAUCCUGCGGCCAUCGUGGACGCACUCGAUGCCCGGGACUGGGCGAGAAGGACGAGACGGGGUGGGGGGCUGUCGGCGGCCCCCAAGACACGCACUCGGGGGCGCCUCCAGCGUCUACCGCUCAGACUUCACAUUUUCCAACUCCGCCCCAUUUUUCCUGUCCUCCCAAUCCUUAAAAGCUAAUCUGCUCCCCAUAAGCGCCAAUGACCCCUCCCGCCCCGCGCCUAGCCAGGGAGCCUGCGACUCUUCCCAGUUCCCAGGAAUUUAAACAAACCUCUAGGCCGGGGUUGUUUCCAACUCCAACAGGCGCAGAGGCCAAGGGAAAUAAAAAGCCAAGUUGGGGGAGUGGUAGGAGGGGCCCCAUCCUAAAGCACGCUCUCGGGGCGUGGCCUGCGUGGAGAACCCAAGAGAAGCUCCGCCCCCCAGCCCCUAGGCAGGUGGGAUGGCGUGAGCGUGGCUAGAAGGGGGCGGGGAGAGCUGAUGGGGUCCCACCCAGAGACUUGAAGUGCACCCCUAAAAUUGGGUACAUCCUAAUCGCCGGCGCCUAGACAACUUAAAAGCUUGCUUUGGGACUACCCCCAACCCCCUCAAAGCCAGCCACUGCUUCUGGGUCGCUCCUCAGCCAAAGAACCCAGAAGUGAACUUAAUUAACCACGCCCUUCACGCAUUAUCUACUCAGACCACCACUAGGUGGCGGGCAACGCUAAGCAAUGGGGACAAGGAGGGGCCAAUGUCCUUGGAUUGGCUACUCUUUUAGAGGCAGGGGUUACCCCAUGCCUGGUUCUACUUUGUAGAUCUACAAGUGGGGUCCACACCCAGCAAUAACUCGGAUCUUCCCCCUCCGGCUUCUGCGCCGGAAAGCGCUGGACCAGGAUGCGCAAUGCUCAUGGUAGUCAGCAGGGGGCGCAAGGACCUCACGCGGCCAAGCCCGCGCCAAACUUUCUCAGCCUCGCGCCCGCCCACUCUGCGCGUCCCCUCCCCCCGCCGCCCGGCACCCCCGCGGGCCCGGGAACACAGUCUAGCCUGCAGAGAGUGCAAACAAUCUUUCCUUAUGAAUCAUCCCACAGCCCUCCUGAUCGCUUUUACAUCCUGGGCUCCAGAUCCCCAGCUCGGCGCCCCGGUCCCAUCUUCGACGUGCUCUGCCUGCAGACCCCGCCGGCCCGGGUACAUUUGACGGCGCAUGCUCAGGAUUUCCUCCCGCGCAGUCUCGCGCAGUGCACCAGCCUCACUGCCCACUCCCCGGAGUAUUCAUCCCCAUGCCCGGCCCACGGUGCAUUCGCUCCUCUGCAUCUCCUUUGCGUCCAUCCCCAAGCGAAUCUCCGGAAACGCCAGAGGACCAAGCGCAGGGCUUGCUACCGAGUACCCGUGUACUCCGAAAAGUUGGGACUUACUGUCUCUCUCUUGGUCCACAACUUCCUCUUGGCCAUGCGUCAGGAGGGCGGUGGCCGCUAAGAGGAGCAGGAG
rnacentral:lncRNA from 1 species